rnacentral:rRNA from 1 species
CCUACGGGGAGCAGCAGUGAGGAAUAUUGGUCAAUGGGCGAGAGCCUGAACCAGCCAAGUCGCGUGAAGGAUGAAGGAUCUAUGGUUUGUAAACUUCUUUUAUAUGGGAAUAAAGUGAGGAACGUGUUCCUUUUUGUAUGUACCAUAUGAAUAAGCAUCGGCUAACUCCGUGCCAGCAGCCGCGGUAAUACGGAGGAUGCGAGCGUUAUCCGGAUUUAUUGGGUUUAAAGGGUGCGUAGGUGGUUAAUUAAGUCAGCGGUGAAAGUUUGUGGCUCAACCAUAAAAUUGCCGUUGAAACUGGUUGACUUGAGUAUAUUUGAGGUAGGCGGAAUGCGUGGUGUAGCGGUGAAAUGCAUAGAUAUCACGCAGAACUCCGAUUGCGAAGGCGACUAUCUGGCACAUAACUGACGCUGAGGAGCGAAAGCGUGGGUAGCAAACAGGAUUAGAUACCCUUGUAGUC